rnacentral:tRNA from 3 species
GCGCCCGUAGCUCAGCUGGAUAGAGCAUCAGGCUUCGAACCUGAGGGUCGGGCGUUCGAGUCGCUCCGGGCGCACCA